AUUGAACGCUGGCGGCAUGCCUUACACAUGCAAGUCGAACGGUAACGCGGGGCAACCUGGCGACGAGUGGCGAACGGGUGAGUAAUGCAUCGGAACGUACCCAGUAGUGGGGGAUAGCCCGGCGAAAGCCGGAUUAAUACCGCAUACGACCUACGGGUGAAAGGGGGGGAUCGCAAGACCUCUCGCUAUUGGAGCGGCCGAUGUCAGAUUAGGUAGUUGGUGGGGUAAAAGCCUACCAAGCCUGUGAUCUGUAGCUGGUCUGAGAGGACGACCAGCCACACUGGGACUGAGACACGGCCCAGACUCCUACGGGAGGCAGCAGUGGGGAAUUUUGGACAAUGGGCGCAAGCCUGAUCCAGCAAUGCCGCGUGCGGGAAGAAGGCCU
rnacentral:rRNA from 1 species